UCUGUUACUGACGCCCCGCAUUCACCUGCGGCGGCACCUGAGGUGGGGUGGUGCCUUUUCCGCCAUGUUGGGCUUUGCCCGCCUCUGCCGCCGGCCCUCAGGCGGGUCUGGGGGAGAAAGGUCCUGCCCUACUCGCCUGGUGCACGGGGAGCAGCUCGCCGGGCGUUUGAGCCGGAACUUGGCAGGUGGAGAGGCAGGGAAAAACCUAUGGGGAAAGCUGCGGUGUAUAGAGACGUUCCCGUGUACUUAGCGCGGGUGAGGAGCGGCUCGAUUUCUGGGGCCAGUUCUGAGCCCCUGAGUUCAGGAGGGACAUGGAAGUUCUAGAGAAUGGCAACAGAAGGGCAACAGAGCUGGUGAAGCGGCUGGAGCAGAAGUCUGAUGAGGAACGGCUGAGGGUGUUUUGCCUGGAGAAAAGGAAGCUCAGAGAGAGCCUUACCGCUCUCUACAACUCCCUGAAAGGAGGUUGUAGCCAGGGGGGGGUCGGCCCCUUCUCCCAGGCAGCUGGUAACAGCUUUAGAGCACAUGGCCUCAGGCUGCAGCAGGGAGGUUUAGUCUGGACAUCAGGAGGAAUUUCUUCAUUGGAGGGAUGAUUAGACGUUGGAGCAGAAGUCACUAUUCCUGAAGGUGUUUGAAGACUGGACAUGGCACUUAGUGCUAUGGUCUGGUUGGCACGGUGUUAGGUCAUGGUUUGGAUUCGAUGAUCUCACAGGUCUUUUCCAACCUAAUUGAUUUUGUGAUUAUGGACAGCCCUUAAUUCUACUAUAGUAAUGAGUAAGUAAUAUCUCCUGAUGUCCUGAUUCCAGCUGGGGCAGUGUUAAUUUUUGCAGGUGCCAGGAGGGAGCAUGGCUCGGAUGUGCAGGUUAUUGUGUCCCACCUCACCUCAUUGUCAUUGCCAGGAGCAGGAGGAAAAGGGGUUUCUUCCUCUGGAGAAAACGUGGAGGAGGGAGCCGACUGGUAGUGUGUACUGGGAGCGGGGGCAGGUUUCUUAUCUCGUCUAUUUUUCCAGUAUAUUGUGCCUUCAAUUCUCAGCCUCAUCCUAACACAUCAGGAAGGAUGAGGGGAAGGGGGAGUGAGAGAGAGCAGUGUGUGGUUUAGGAAAGUCCCAGUGGGGGUCCUGAACUGGGAAGUACCAUUCCCAAACCAUGACACCUGGGCAGAGCCUGAUGAGGUCUGCUUUGAGGUACUGCCAACAUCCCCGUUUUCACUGAAUUUCGCUGCAGAAAGUUUAAUUCACAUGAGCUGUUUUGCUGUUCUUUUGAGUUAAUUCCUUGGAUUAAAGAAUAAUAUUAAGACUAAUACGCUAAGAGGAUAUGCCAUCAGAGGGAAAACAGAAGAGGUGAAAUUUUGUCCACAGAAGUGCUUUACUUUGUUGGUGGCUCCGAGCCCUACUCAAGCCCCUGUUGGUUUUCUUACAGAUGGCACUUUGGGAACCUAAUCCAGCUCCUCCUGCUGCAUGCAUGCCUGAAUUGAUUAGAUUGUUCUGCGGAGCUGAGAGAUUCUCCUUCCUGUUGGUCUGUACCUGUGUGAAGCAGGAGUUCACAGGAUUAGAAUGAGUCAGAAAUUAAAGUAGGAGCCCCUCCCUCAAAGUCUGGACAUCCACUUGGAAACCUUUAAAUCCCACUCCCAGUUCAAGUGAUUUGUGUGGGCAAGUGCUCCAACUAAGAGCUUGCAGCUGGACGCUGCCGUCGCUAAGAUCAGGCUUGUCAGGCUGAGAUUGUCUGGGCUAUUUUCAUCAGAUGAAAGAAAUCUUAAUUAAGUGUUCAUAUCUUUGUCAGCCAGACUCGGAAUAAAAAUUGAUGCGAUUCCCUUGA